GAGGGGGUUAGCGUUGUUCGGAAUUACUGGGACUAAAGCUCNCGUAGGCGGAUUGGAAAGUUGGGGGUGAAAUCCCGGGGCUCAACCCCGGAACUGCCUUCAAAACUCCCAGUCUAGAGUUCGAGAGAGGUGAGUGGAAUUCCGAGUGUAGAGGUGAAAUUCGUAGAUAUUCGGAAGAACACCCAUGGCGAAGUCUCUCACU
rnacentral:rRNA from 1 species